GUUCAGCUGACAGUCUCUGCUCCGUCAUGCGGUCCAGCAGCUCGGUGGCUCUGCGAGGAUGGACGGCCAGCACCUUUGAUCCGCCCAGUUUUAUUUUUCGCAGAUUUUAGAUGGUGAAUCAUGUGUCCCUGUGUGUCCUUGAAGGCAGCAUUUACAGCGUGGAUCAGAAAGGCCAGUGGACACAGGAUGAGUCAUGGUCACUGAAAUCACUGAUGCUGAUGUAGCCAGUUACAGCUAACUUUAUUCAUCAGACUGAUCCAUAAACUUCUGCUGUCAGUAAUAAUAAUAAUGCUUCCUGCCAAAUGAGAUACAUGCAAAGACUGUUUAUGUUUCCUAUGUAUUCAGAAUUAAAGUUGUUUAUGUAUAUUAUUUUUAGACUUCUCAGAUGAGAGGAUCUGCAGCUUUUUCUCUGUUUUAUACUGUUGGUCAAACAAGACGAGCAAUUUGAAGACUCACUUUGGGCUCUGGGAGCUUGCAAUAGUAAUAGGCAUGAAGUAUUUUCCAACAUUUUAUUUACAAAAUAAUUAGCCGAUUAAUAAAAAACAAACUGAGACAGUGAAUAUAGUCAUACUGCAUAUAGCUUACAAAUAUUUGUUAUUUUCAUGUUUAACUUUCAUUUGUCUGGAAGCCCAGUCUGAUGUGUGCAUUAUCUUGUGGAUAUGACACAGUUUGUACAUUGAUCAGAACCCAGUAUAAAUGUAAACAUAAUCCACCCUACUCUCACUCUGAAAGAUGAUCAACAGCCUCACCAUUUAUAGACAGAAGGAGUGUGUUGAGAUAUGUUCAUUGUUGCAAGCGAGACAGUGAUUUUGUAAUGUGGUAUCUGGUCAGAUAGUGUUGUGUGAGUGUGUGUGUAGGAAUGCAGAGCCUCGUCUGUACCUGCAACAGGAGCAGGGGUGUGGCACUGCUGAUGUGUCCAAGGUGGAAAUAUGACACAAAACACAUAACUGACUGUGUAGAGAGAGGAACCAGAUGUAAAGAGGAUAAACCAACAUGUAAGACCUCUGCACGCAAUAUGUUUUUUAUAUUAAUGUUUGAAUGGUUUUGUUGUUACAAGUCGAUGGGUCCAGUGACAGUGCAAAAACACAGCGCAGUGUAAAGUAGUUUCCCACAGUAUGUUGUGUUAUAUUCUCUCUAAUUUAAGAUAAAUGCAUGUGUAUCAAGGGAAAAGAGACAUGAAUUAAAUACAUUACAACAACAAAGUCCCAAACAAGGGGAAAUGUAUACCUGCACUUUGUCUCCCAUCCACCAAUGAGCUUUUGGUUUAAUUUCCUACCAUAUAUGGUCAAAGAGAGUAGACAGAAAGAGAGAGAGAGAUCUCCAGAAAAGAGAUGGGUGCAGAGAAGAGAGGUGGAGGGAGGCGUGGACUAUUGUUGUGUUUUUUUCUUUCUUUCUGUCUUCUUCUUUUUUUUUUUUUUUUUUUGGUGCGGUGUAAAGUUUCUUUUCAAACCCUGUCAUUACCCCAAGCCCUGGUCCUCCUGUUGUCUUCAAGUCUGUCACACAUCAAAGAUGGUCUGAUAGAAAUGUAGGGGUGGCAUGUCGCAGCAUGAAUGAAAUAGAGCAAGGACACACACAUGGACACACACACACUGUUGGCAUUAUAAAGUGUAACUGUUUUUCCAAUGUAGACAAUAAAAUAAAACAGUAACAUACAUAAA